AUCACAUUUGAUCGGGUAAAGGGUUAAUAUGGGUUGGGAUAAUUUAGGUUUGGACAAUUGCAGGUCCUUCGACCAAAUUGACUGUAGUCCACAUUAGAGGACCAUUAUUUUGAUGAUUUUCUUCUCCACUAGCUAGUGUAAAAAGGAAAACUGCCAUCUGAAAUGCAAGGUCCCUCCAAAAAGGCACCAAAUGCAAUUGAACUCGCAAAAUCAGAAGAAACCCUACCGUAUGGGUGAGUUGCCGGAAGCAUUCUUGGUACAAAUUCUCUCUCUUUUGGAGGCCCAAGAUGCCGUCAAAUCAUCUGUCCUCUCAAAAAGGUGGCGUUAUCUCUGGAGUUCUAUUUACAAUUUCCAUUUCAAUGAUAGAAAUUACAACCCUGUUGAAAACUUCGUAUCCUUUGUGGACCACGUUUUAACUCAUUCUACUUGUUCCAAAAUUAAUAAAUUCCAACUCGACAUUCAUAACAGAGAAUGGGAUAUCGAUUCUAAAAUCAGUCAAUGGUUCAGUUUUGCUGUGGAUAAAAAAGUGGAACAUGUUGUUUUAGAUGAUUUUAUCCAUCUAUUGAAGAACCCCCUUACGAAUUGCCUCUAUCUAUGUACACUUGUUCCUCAUUGAUUACAUUGUAUUUGAGUUAUGUGGUGUUUGAUAAAGGAUUGUCUAUAGCUUGGAACUCUCUAAGGAGCUUAACUCUGGCCUAGACUGAGUUAGAAGAUGACGAUAUUGUGAGAUUACUGUCAGGAUACGGUUCUUUGGAAAUUUUUGCCCCACAUCUUCAGCAUUUGCAUAUUUCAGGAGAACUUCUUCGUCUCAAGUGUAGGCUAGUAAAUGUCUCCUCUUUGGUUACUGCCAGCCUCAUUUUUACCAUUAGCUGUAUCCCUGACAGCUGGGACGAAGAUGAUAUCAAGGAAGACAGUUGUCAUGAUUAUCAUCAAGUUUUCAGAAACCUUGUUCUGGAUUAUCUUCAAAAGCUGAGUUCUGUGACCGAGCUAAUAAUUGGAACUUGGCUUGCUGAGGUUUGUUUCUAUGUCAAGAGGCCUUAUUCUCUAUUGGACUUUUAGCAAAACUAGGCUUUUGCACGUUGUUGUUCCUUAAAGUGUAAAGAUGCUUAGAUUUUUCAUAGAACUAUCUUUUGUUGUGGAUUACUUUUUCUUUGUAGUUGCUUCUUUCUCUAUCCUUAUUUCUUUGAGGUUAUUUUCA